AACGAACGCUGGCGGCGUGGAUAAGACAUGCAAGUCGAACGCUGAUUUGGAGGUAGCAAUAUUUUCAAGUCGGAGUGGCGCAAGGGUGCGUAACACGUGGGCAAUCUGCCGUGAAGACCGGGAUAACCUGCUGAAAGGCGAGCUAAUACCGGAUGUGGAAAUUGGGAGGCAUCUUCUGAUUUUCAAAGUUGGGGACCGCAAGGCCUGACGCUUCACGAUGAGCCCGCGGCCUAUCAGCUAGUUGGUAAGGUAACGGCUUACCAAGGCUAAGACGGGUAGCUGGUCUGAGAGGACGACCAGUCACACUGGAACUGAGACACGGUCCAGACACCUACGGGUGGCAGCAGUCGAGAAUUUUUCUCAAUGGGCGAAAGCCUGAAGGAGCGACGCCGCGUGGGGGAUGAAGGGCUUCGGCUCGUAAACCCCUGUCAUUUGCGAACAAACCUUUUCACUUAACACGUGAAGAGCUGAUUGUAGCGAAAGAGGAAGGGACGGCUAACUCUGUGC
rnacentral:rRNA from 1 species